rnacentral:rRNA from 1 species
AGUGAACGCUGGCGGUAGGCCUAACACAUGCAAGUCGAACGGCAGCACAGUAAGAGCUUGCUCUUACGGGUGGCGAGUGGCGGACGGGUGAGGAAUACAUCGGAAUCUACUUUUUCGCGGGGGAUAACGUAGGGAAACUUACGCUAAUACCGCAUACGACCUACGGGUGAAAGCAGGGGAUCUUCGGACCUUGCGCGAUUGAAUGAGCCGAUGUCGGAUUAGCUAGUUGGCGGGGUAAAGGCCCACCAAGGCGACGAUCCGUAGCUGGUCUGAGAGGAUGAUCAGCCACACUGGAACUGAGACACGGUCCAGACUCCUACGGGAGGCAGCAGUGGGGAAUAUUGGACAAUGGGCGCAAGCCUGAUCCAGCCAUACCGCGUGGGUGAAGAAGGCCUUCGGGUUGUAAAGCCCUUUUGUUGGGAAAGAAAUCCAGCCGGCUAAUACCUGGUUGGGAUGACGGUACCCAAAGAAUAAGCACCGGCUAACUUCGUG